UACGUAGGGUGCAAGCGUUAAUCGGACUUACUGGGCGUAAAGCGUGCGCAGGCGGUUAUGCACGUCAGAUGUGAAAUCCCCGGGCUUAACCUGGGAACCGCAUUUGUGACUGCAUAGCUGGAGUACGGCAGAGGGGGAUGGAAUUCCGCGUGUAGCAGUGAAAUGCGUAGAUAUGCGGAGGAACACCGAUGGCGAAGGCAGUCCCCUGGGCCUGUACUGACGCUCAUGCACGAAAGCGUGGGGAGCAAACAGG
rnacentral:rRNA from 1 species